CUCUGUGUGAGUCGCGGCUGUAUCAGACUCCUCAGUUCAUCAGCCAUGGACAAACGUUUGCUGCUGGUUGUGCUGUGUCUGCAGGUUUUCCUGCUCAUCACAUCCUUCACCUCUACUGAUGCAGCCACUCUGUCGAGAGACUAUUAUCAUCGACCACCUUCUGGUCAGAUGGGGCGAUGGAGAUCUAGAGUUAAAAACCCACUAUCCAGGUGUAACUGGAAACCAAGAGGACGUGCAGUUGCGGGUUACAGUGACCCUAGACAGACAGAAGAAGGAUCGGGUGCUAUACAUUUUGGUUAUACUUACUGAGCUGCUUCCACAGAAAUGGGUUGUGAUAAUGUAGCUGCUGCCUGUCUACUUGCCUACUUUGGUGACUAUGACUCAUGUAAAAUAAGGAGAAUUUCUGGAAAAAGAAUAAAUUACUGAAUGGAUACAGAGGUGCAUUAAACCAGCAAUACUUCAUUUUUUAAGGCCCAGAUAAUCUUAACAACCUACAUUUAGGUAUUUAGUCUAAAGAAGGAUAUUGCUAUAUCUGAAAGUUUGUUGUUGGAGUCAGUGACAAUGAAAUUCUCACGAGUGAACAUGAAUUAUACAAACAGUAUUUCAAAGUAAAAUAGUGUGUGAUUAAAUCACACUUGUGGCAUAAUAGCACUCUAUAAAGAUACAUUAAUACAAGUGAAUGUGCUGCAUUCAACAUCGUAAAUAAUCUGAAAUAUUCCUACUGUAAUGGCAGAUUUUUUCUUAUGCAAUUAAAGGUUAAAAUAACUUCAUUAGCUGAUUGCGUGUAUUGAACAUUGCAUUGUAUUAUAUAAAAUAAUCAUUUGAUGGGUUUUACCCUCCAUCUUAUGCAUUCCAUGUAUUCAUCUGUUUUAUUUUCUGUAUAAUGUUACACUGAUUAUGACAUUCAAUCUGUUUUUAUGUCCAUUCUUUUCAUGUAAAGCUUUAAUUUCUUCAUUG